rnacentral:rRNA from 1 species
UACAGAGGGUGCAAGCGUUGUUCGGAAUUAUUGGGCGUAAAGGGCGCGUAGGCGGUGCGGUAAGUCUGUAGUGAAAUCUCUGGGCUCAACUCAGAGUCUGCUGCAGAAACUGCCGUGCUUGAGUGUGGGAGAGGUGAGUGGAAUUCCUGGUGUAGCGGUGAAAUGCGUAGAUAUCAGGAGGAACACCUGUGGCGAAAAGCGGCUCACUGGACCAUAACUGACGCUGAUGCACGAAAGCUAGGGGAGCAAACAGG